UAAGGAUGCUGGGUGAUCGCUGCGAAUAUCGUAGAGGAAAGUCCGGACUCCAUUGGGCAGGGAGCUGGGUAAUACCCAGGCGUUGUGAAGCGACGGAAAGUGCCACAGAAACUAAACCGCCGAUGGACAUAUGUCACAGGCAAGGUUGAAACGGUGCGGUAAGAGCGCACCAGAUCUUAGCGUGAGUUGAGAUGCUGGAAAACCCCUCCUGGAGCAAGGCCAAAUAGGAGAACAAUUCUUAAGAAUAUCGGCGCCCUCCGAGUUCUCGGGUAGGCCGCAUGAACCUGAUGGUAACAGCAGGGCUAGAUAGAUGAUCACCGUCCUAUGGGAUACAGAAUCCGGCUUAUAGGCAACCUUAGUAG
rnacentral:RNase_P_RNA from 1 species